UACAGAGGUGGCAAGCGUUGUUCGGAAUUACUGGGCGUAAAGGGCGCGUAGGCGGUUCUGUAAGUCCCGCGUGAAAUCCCCCGGCUCAACUGGGGAACUGCGCGGGAAACUGCGGGGCUUGAGUUCGGAAGAGGGAAGCGGAAUUCCGGGUGUAGCGGUGAAAUGCGUAGAUAUCCGGAGGAACACCGGUGGCGAAGGCGGCUUCCUGGACCGACACUGACGCUGAGGCGCGAAAGCUAGGGGAGCAAACGGG
rnacentral:rRNA from 1 species